GACGAGGGGUCCUAGCGUUGUUCGGAAUCACUGGGCGUAAAGCGUAUGUAGGCGGGCUUUUAAGUCAGGUGUGAAAUCCCAUGGCUCAACCAUGGAAUUGCAUUUGAAACUGGAAGUCUUGAGUGUGGGAGAGAUUGGUAGAAUACCUGGUGUAGUGGUGAAAUACGUAGAUAUCAGGUGGAAUACCGGCGGCGAAGGGCGGCAUGGCCAACACUCGAACCGCUUGAGAUACGAAAAGCGUGGGGGAU
rnacentral:rRNA from 1 species